AUGUUAUCAUAAUAACUAAGACCAAAGUGCAACUAAGCUGUCAUAAGCCAAAGAUGUACCUAAGACCUCCCAUAUACACGAUCUUAGCGCCUUAGAUUAAUUUAACUCCACGAAAGCUAAGACACAAACUGGGAUUAGAUACCCCACUAUGCUUAGCCCUAAAUCUUGAUGCUAUUUCAUACUAAAGCAUCCGCCUGAGAACUACGAGCACAAACGCUUAAAACUCUAAGGACUUGGCGGUGCCCUAAACCCACCUAGAGGAGCCUGUUCUAUAAUCGAUAACCCACGUUACACCCGACCGCCUCUUGCCAACGCAGCCUACAUACCGCCGUCGCCAGCUCACCUCCCCUGAGAGUUCAAUAGUGAGCACAAUAGCCAAACCCGCUAAUAAGACAGGUCGAGGUAUAGCCCACGGGGCGGAAGAAAUGGGCUACAUUUUCUAAAAUAGAAAACCCACGGAAGGAGGUGUGAAACCACCUCCCGAAGGCGGAUUUAGCAGUAAAAGGGACAAUAUAAGCCCCUUUUAAACCGGCCCUGGGCACGUACAUACCGCCCG
rnacentral:rRNA from 1 species